rnacentral:rRNA from 1 species
UACGAAGGGGGCUAGCGUUGCUCGGAAUCACUGGGCGUAAAGGGUGCGUAGGCGGGCCUUUAAGUCAGGGGGGAAAUCCUGGAGCUCAACUCCAGAACUGCCUUUGAUACUGAGGAUCUUGAGUUCGGGAGAGGUGAGUGGAACUGCGAGUGUAGAGGUGAAAUUCGUAGAUAUUCGCAAGAACACCAGUGGCGAAGGCGGCUCACUGGCCCGAUACUGACGCUGAGGCACGAAAGCGUGGGGAGCAAACAGG